ACGAACGCUGGCGGCGCGUCUUAAACCUGCAAGUCGAACGGCAGGAAGGGGCUUGCCCCUUCUGCGAGUGGCGGACUGGUGAGUAACACGUGGGUGACAUACCUUUUAGUUGGGGAUAGCUAUUAGAAAUAGUAGGUAAUACCGAAUGUGACCGUACCUGUUAGAGGGGUACGAGGAAAGGAGCUAAGGCUUCGCUAAAAGAAUGGCUCGCGGCCCAUUAUGCUCGUUGGUGAGGUAACGGCCCACCAAGGCGAUGAUGGGUAUCCGGCCUGAGAGGGUGAACGGACACAUUGGGACUGAGAUACGGCCCAGACUUCUACGGGAGGCAGCAGUUAAGAAUAUUCCGCAAUGGACGAAAGUCUGACGGAGCGACGCCGCGUGGAUGAAGAAUGCCGAAAGGUUGUAAAAUCCUUUUAAGCCUGAUGAAUAAGCACAGUAGGGAAUGAUUGUGCGGUGACCGUAGGGCUUGAAUAAGCACCGGCUAAUUACGUG
rnacentral:rRNA from 1 species